GACGAACCGAGCGACCGUUGUUCGGAAUCACUGGGCUUAAAGGGCGCGUAGGCGGGCUGUCAAGUCUGGGGUGAAAUCCCGCGGCUCAACCGUGGAACUGCCUCAGAUACUGACGGCCUCGAGGGAGAUAGGGGCGAGCGGAACUAAUGGUGGAGCGGUGAAAUGCGUUGAUAUCAUUAGGAACUCCGGUGGCGAAGGCGGCUCGCUGGAUCUUUUCUGACGCUGAGGCGCGAAAGCUAGGGGAGCAAACGGG
rnacentral:rRNA from 1 species